AGGAGAGUUUGAUCAUGGCUCAGAUUGAACGCUGGCGGCAGGCCUAACACAUGCAAGUCGAGCGGUAACAGGACUAGCUUGCUAGUUGCUGACGAGCGGCGGACGGGUGAGUAACGCGUAGGAAUCUACCAAGUAGUGGGGGAUAAGCCAGAGAAAUUUGGUCUAAUACCGCAUACGUUCUUCGGAAGAAAGGAGGGGAUCUUCGGACCUUUCGCUAUUUGAUGAGCCUGCGUGAGAUUAGCUUGUUGGUGAGGUAAGAGCUCACCAAGGCGACGAUCUCUAGCUGGUCUGAGAGGAUGAUCAGCCACACUGGGACUGAGACACGGCCCAGACUCCUACGGGAGGCAGCAGUGGGGAAUAUUGCACAAUGGGCGCAAGCCUGAUGCAGCCAUGCCGCGUGUGUGAAGAAGGCCCUAGGGUUGUAAAGCACUUUCAGCAGUGAGGAAAGGUGUGCGGUUAAUACCCGCAUACUGUGACGUUAACUGCAGAAGAAGCACCGGCUAACUCCGUGCCAGCAGCCGCGGUAAUACGGAGGGUGCGAGCGUUAAUCGGAAUUACUGGGCGUAAAGCG
rnacentral:rRNA from 1 species